CCUACGGGAGGCAGCAGUAGGGAAUAUUGCUCAAUGGGGGAAACCCUGAAGCAGCAACGCCGCGUGGAGGAUGAAGGUUUUCGGAUUGUAAACUCCUUUUGUUAGAGAAGAUAAUGACGGUAUCUAACGAAUAAGCACCGGCUAACUCCGUGCCAGCAGCCGCUGUAAUACGGGGGGUGCAAGCGUUACUCGGAAUCACUGGGCGUAAAGAGCGCGUAGGCGGGAUAGCAAGUCAGAUGUGAAAUCCUAUGGCUUAACCAUAGAACUGCAUUUGAAACUGUUAUUCUAGAGUAGGGGAGAGGUAGGUGGAAUGCUUGGUGUAGGGGUAAAAUCCGUAGAGAUCAAGAGGAAUACUCAUUGCGAAGGCGACAUGCUGGAACAUAACUGACGCUGAUGCGCGAAAGCGUGGGGAGCAAACAGGAUUAGAUACCCCGGUAGUC
rnacentral:rRNA from 1 species